UACAGAGGGUGCAAGCGUUGUUCGGAAUUAUUGGGCGUAAAGGGCGCGUAGGCGGUGCUGUAAGUCUGUAGUGAAAUCUCUGGGCUCAACUCAGAGUCUGCUAUAGAAACUGCAGUGCUAGAGUGUGGGAGAGGUGAGUGGAAUUCCCGGUGUAGCGGUGAAAUGCGUAGAUAUCGAGAGGAACACCAGUGGCGAAGGCGAGUCCCUGGACAGGUACUGACGCUGAGGCACGAAAGCGAGGGGAGCAAACAGG
rnacentral:rRNA from 1 species